CGUUAGCCAGGUUCGAAUCCGCUCCUUCGUAUUUUUACUCUAAUUUUUUUUAAAAAAAUAUAAACCUAAUUAAUUAAGAACCACCUUGUAAUGCAAAUAGACAUGCUGUUUACGAUGCUCAACAUCCAUGCAGGUAUAAUAUGUACUUCAUACUUUUUUCUUUUUCUUUUUAAUUUGACUUUGAACACGUGUUGGCUCUUUUCUUCAGAUAUGAGACUGGGGAUCAUGUAAGUGUUUACUGCGAACUGAAUAUGCUGAUCUUUUGAGUUCACCAAAAAAGUCUGCUUUACAUGCUUUAGCUGCUCAUGCUACUGAUCCAACUGAAGCUGAUAGACUAAGGCAUCUCGCUUCACCUGCCGGAAAGGACGAAUAUGCAUAAUGGAUAGUUACUUCUCAAGAAGUCUGCUUGAGGUCAUGAUUGAGUUUCCAUCAGCCAAGCCCCCGCUUGGUGUCUUCUUUGCGAUAAUUUAUUAGACAGAAAUUAAGAUUAAUUGCUAUUGUAGAGUAUUGUCGUUUGAACUUGAGAAGUAUUGUCGAUUGUCGCCUUUUUCAAACUCUGGAUUAGUUGUGGUUGAUACACUAUUCCUUUUGA